rnacentral:rRNA from 1 species
UAAGACCUCGCGUUAAUGGAGUGGCCGAUAUCUGAUUAGCUAGUUGGUGAGGUAAAGGCUCACCAAGGCGACGAUCAGUAGCUGGUCUGAGAGGACGACCAGCCACACUGGAACUGAGGCACGGUCCAGACUCCUACGGGAGGCAGCAGUGGGGAAUUUUGGACAAUGGGCGCAAGCCUGAUCCAGCCAUUCCGCGUGAGUGAAGAAGGCCUUCGGGUUGUAAAGCUCUUUCGCAAGGGAAGAAAACUUACUCAAUAACACUGGGUGAGGCUGACGGUACCUUGAUAAGAAGCACCGGCUAACUACGUGCCAGCAGCCGCGGUAGUACGUAGGGUGCGAGCGUUAAUCGGAAUUACUGGGCGUAAAGCGUGCGCAGGCGGUUUUGUAAGUCAGAUGUGAAAGCCCCGGGCUCAACCUGGGAACUG